GACGAACGCUGGCGACGUGCUUAACACAUGCAAGUCGAACGGAAAGGCCCUGCUUUUGUGGGGUGCUCGAGUGGCGAACGGGUGAGUAACACGUGAGUAACCUGCCCUUGACUUUGGGAUAACUUAAGGAAACUGGGGCUAAUACCGGAAAGGAGCUCUUGCUGCAUGGUGGGGGCUGGAAAGAUUCGGUGGUUGGGGAGGGACUCGCGGCUUAUCAGCUUGUUGGUUGGGUAGUGGCUUACCAAGGCUUUGACGGGUAGCCGGCCUGAGAGGGUGACCGGCCACAUUGGGACUGAGAUACGGCCCAGACUCCUCCGGGAGGCAGCGGUGGGGAAUAGUGCACAAUGGGCGGAAGCCUGAUGCAGCAACGCCGCGUGCGGGAUGACAGCCUUCGGGUUGUAAACCGCUUUCGCCUGUGACGAAGCGUGAGUGACGGUAAUGGGUAAAGAAGCACCGGCUAACUACGUG
rnacentral:rRNA from 1 species